AGUUUAAAUUAAAACAUUACACUUUCAUUGUAAAAUUAGACUUUCUUAUAAAUAUC
rnacentral:tRNA from 1 species